UAGAUGUGAUGAGCUUUUAUCUUCAUGGUCCGUGUUUCUGACAGCCAGUGAUACUACUGAAGAUCUGAUCUU
rfam:Lingula anatina scaffold127, whole genome shotgun sequence.